AUUGAACGCUGGCGGCGUGCCUUACACAUGCAAGUCGAACGGCAGCAUAGGAGCUUGCUCCUGAUGGCGAGUGGCGAACGGGUGAGUAAUAUAUCGGAACGUGCCCUAGAGUGGGGGAUAACUAGUCGAAAGCCUAGCUAAUACCGCAUACCAACUACGGAUGAACGUGGGGGAUCGCAAGAACUCAUGCUCCUGGAGCGGCCCAUAUCUGAUUGGCUAGUUGGUGGGGUAAAAGCCUACCAAGGCAACUAUCAGUAGCUGGUCUGAGAGGACGACCAGCCACACUGGGACUGAGACACGGCCCAGACUCCUACGGGAGGCAGCAGUGGGGAAUUUUGGACAAUGGGGGCAACCCUGAUCCAGCAAUGCCGCGUGAGUGAAGAAGGCCUUCGGGUUGUAAAGCUCUUUUGUCAGGGAAGAAACGGUAGUAGCGAAUAACUACUACUAAUGACGGUACCUGAAGAAUAAGCACCGGCUAACUACGUGCCAGCCGCCGCCGUAA
rnacentral:rRNA from 1 species